GGGGCCUUAGCUCAGUGUAGUAGAGCGCUGCCUUUGCAAGGCAGAUGUCAGGAGUUCGAAUCUCCUAGGCUCCA
rnacentral:tRNA from 1 species